ACAGAGGGUGCAAACGUUGUUCGGAAUUACUGGGCGUAAAGCGCGUGUAGGCGGCUUGGUAAGUCAGGUGUGAAAGCCCUCGGCUCAACCGGGGAAGUGCACUUGAAACUGCCGAGCUGGAGUCCCGGAGAGGAUGGUGGAAUUCUCGGUGUAGAGGUGAAAUUCGUAGAUAUCGAGAGGAACACCGGUGGCGAAGGCGGCCAUCUGGACGGUGACUGACGCUGAGACGCGAAAGCGUGGGGAGCAAACAGGA
rnacentral:rRNA from 1 species